UACGAAGGGGCUAGCGUUGCUCGGAAUCACUGGGCGUAAAGGGUGCGUAGGCGGGUCUUUAAGUCAGGGGUGAAAUCCUGGAGCUCAACUCCAGAACUGCCUUUGAUACUGAAGAUCUUGAGUUCGGGAGAGGUGAGUGGAACUGCGAGUGUAGAGGUGAAAUUCGUAGAUAUUCGGAAGAACACCAGUGGCGAAGGCGGCUCACUGGACCGGUAUUGACGCUGAGACGCGAAAGCGUGGGGAGCAAACAGG
rnacentral:rRNA from 1 species